GGACCGCCCACUGACCAGGAUUGCGAUUGGCGAUUGCGCCGCAAGGACAGCGCGAGGAGGGUGAGCGUAGGACCGGCCUCAGGAAGAGGAAGAAGCCCGCAAAUUUCAGGAUGAUACCCAGGACACCUCCAGGAUGGAGAAUGUGAGCCGGUAAUGGAACACCGGCGAGGCAUGGAGUGCUUAAGGACAUACGUUUGAUAACGUAGGCGUUGCGCAAGGACGGGUACUGCCGACACGGAUUGUUGCAAUGUUAUCUAGUAUAACAAGCGUCAUGGAGGUAGGCAGGGAGCAUAAAUGUAGCGGGAUUGCUAUAAAACGAACCGGGGGUACUGUGUAAACAGUACCCCCUUUUCUUUGA
rnacentral:other from 1 species